CAGAGCUUGCAGUGAGCCAAGAUCGCACCACUGCACUCCAGCCUGGACAACAGAGCGAGACUCCAUCUAAAAAAAAAAAAAAAAAAAAACUACAUGAAAACCCAAGGAAAACUCUUACUGACAUUGGUCUAGGCAAAGAAUUCAUGACUAAGAACUCGAAAGCACAAGCAACAACAACAAAAAAAGACAAAUGAGACAACUAAACUAAAAAGCUUCUGCACAGCAAAAGAAAUAAUCAACAGAAUGAACAGACAACUUGAAGAAUAGGAGAAAAUAUUUGCAAACUAUGCAUCCAACAAGGACUGAUAUCCAGAAUGUACCAAGAACUCAAACAGAUCAAAGACAACAAAAGCAACAAAUAAUCCUGUUAAAAAGUGGGCAAAUGACAUGAAUAGACAUUUUUCAAAAGAAGAUAUAUAAAUGGCCAAACGAGCAUUAUGAAAAAAUGGAAAGCAGUGUGGAGAUUUCUCAAAGAACUAAAAAUAGAACUACUGUAUGAUCCAACAAUUCCACUACUAGGUAUAUAUGCCCAAAGGAAAAGAAACCAUUAUCUCAAAAAGAUACCUACACUCAUAUGUUUAUCACAGCACAAUCCACAAUAGCAAAGACAUAAAAUCAACCUAAGUGUCCAUCAAUGGAUGACUGGAUAAAGAAAACGUGGCGCGCGCGCGCGCGCGCGCGCGCACACACACACACACACACACACACAGUGGAAUACUAGUCAGCCACAGAAAAGAAUGAAAUAACAUAUUUUACAGCAACAUGGAUGAAACUAUUAACUAUCUGACUUUCUGUUUCUGACUUGUUUCACUUAAGAUAAUGAAAGCCAUUUAUAGGUAGGAGCCAAAUUUAUAGGUGGGAGCCAAAUGUGUACACAUGGACAUAGAGCAUGAAAUAAUAGUUACUGGAGACUUGGAAGUGUGGGAAGGGGGUGAAGGAUGAAAAAUUACUUAAUAAGUAAAAUAUAUAACUAUUCGAAUAAUGGUUACACUAAAAGCCAGACUUUACCAGGAUGCAAUAUAUCUUGUAACAAAACUGCAUUUGCACCCCUUAAAUUUAUACAAAUAAAAAAUAAAAUUAUAUAAUUCCAAGGACCGAGCAUAAGAACUUGAUAUCGCCUAAUGGAGGAAGAGAAGAAUUGCUAACAUCAGGUCAUGAACACCACAGAUUUCAUGUUUUUGGAGGUACUGUUUCUACCAUUAAUACGAAUACCCUUUCCAACCACUUUAUUUAUAAUGUAUAGGUAAUGUAAACUAAAGGUUACUAGGAGACCCAUAAGUAUCUGAAAUUUUUAGGAAGAGAUACAAACAAGACUCCUGGCAAAAGGAAGAAAGUACUGUUAAGGAUGAAGAAGAAAACAGAUGAGAGAUUUCAACAGAAAAAAAAACACACACACACACACAAACAAAGGCGUGGGAGUAAUAAUUAUAUUGGCAUGUAUGGAGAUUUAUGACUAACGAGUAUGUGGUUCUUGCCUGGGAAAGGUUCUGUGAUAAAGGUAAGAGUGGUGAACAAAAUUAUGAAGGGGUGAGGAGGCUAAGCAUGAGAGUUUGGCCUCUAUAGAUUCAUUUGAUAAUAGGAAGAGCAUCUAAAUUCUUGAGCAGGAAAAUGACAUGGUGAAAAUAGUAUUUUAAGAGAAUUAGUCUAGCAGUUAAUGUGCAGGAAAACUAGAGAUCAGAGAUAGAAUGUUUGAAUAUUGGGGCAGUAUAAUCCAGGUUUUGUAAUGCCUUUUAUGACAAAAUUCACUCCUCAUUUUUCUCAGCCCACACUAGUGGGAGAUUUGUAAAAUAUAAAUUAAUUCAUAUAUAAAAUACCACCCCUCCCAACCCCAAAAUCAGUUACAAAAGUAUUAUCUUCUAUACUUUUGAAGAAGUCUUUUUUACCUGGAUUCUGAGAGACCAAAUAAGAAACAUCAGGCCGGGCACGGUGGCUCACACCUGUAAUCCCAG
rnacentral:lncRNA from 1 species